rnacentral:lncRNA from 1 species
ACAGAACGAUGCUUCUUCUUCUAGAGAGCAAAAAGAAGAUUGCAAGGAGAAAAUCUCAAGAGGCAAAGAUUAACAAAAACAAUUGCAAGAAUAUUGACGACGUUUGGGGGAAGAAUUCACACAACACAACUAGUUUUUUCUCUUAUUCCCUACUUCUUCUCCAUGUUGUUUAUUGUAUAUUUUAUCAUGUUAAUCAAUUUCAUUAUG